GAGCUAUAGAGGACAGCCCCCCCCCCCCCCUCUCUGAGCUGUAGAGGACAGCCCCCCCCCCCCGGGCCUCUUGUGACGUGUGCUUGUAUCUCAGGAGAAAACGGUUAUCGCAGCAGUUAUCGCCAAAUGCCACAAGACAUUCCCAGAUGAGGCCUUAGUACAACAUGUGUUUGUGUUGACGAUGUUAAGCCAUCCCGCACUCUCAUUUUUCAUCAGUCUAAUGUUGGCCAAUGAUUGUGAUACAAAAGCUUAUUUAUAAAAUCCCACUCUCAAAGGACACUUCUGGAUUAUGUUAACCUAAAUUCUAUUUCCUUGUCAUGUUGGGUCUUGAGUGUUAAUGCAGAAGGCAAUCCUUUACAUCGGUCCAGCACUGAGCGAGAACGUUGGAAGCCGCAAUUCGCGAAAAUGGAUGCAAUGUAAGCCUUUAAGGCAACGCAUUCUGUAAUUACAGCUCUGGUUAUAACUCUAGUUACAGCUCUGGUUAUAACUCUAGUUACAGCUCUGGUUAUAACUCUAGUUACAGCUCUGGUUAUAACUCUAGUUACAGCUCUGGUUAUAACUCUAGUUACAGCUCUGGUUAUAACUCUAGUUACAGCUCUGGUUAUAACCUGCAUUGCACGAGUCUGACAACAUUAACGGAACCCUACAGUGGAACCCAACGUUGGCUCAUCUGACUCGAUCGGGUGUGUUCAUUAUUGAGGAUAACGAUGUCUCAAUCACGGAGAAGUCUGUGAAUCAUGACUAGUCUGGUCAGCUUCACUGUUGUUUGAACCUCGACCUUUUCAGAGCGAGGCUUCGCUGUGAUCGAGACUUGGUUACGCACAAUAACGAACCACCGGGUCGAACCUAAGGGGAGUGCUAUGGCCCAGUUGAUUGCAUUCCAUCCGGUUUGGACCAAUGUCAAAGAUUGUUGUCCACAUUGGUCCCCAACACCCAACAUGACUUGGAAAUAGGCUCCAGGUUCAAAAGUCCCCAGGAUUUCCUUUAAGAGUGUUGGUACAAUACAAACCUGUAAUACAUUCACUUUUCUUUUUUAAAAACGACACAAUGUAUGUUGCUGGCAAUGGCAAUGUUUUUUUUUAUGGAAACCCUAUUUCUGAUGUUGAUGUAAAAAAUGCAAUGUAUUUGUCAAUUGGCUAUAUUGUAAUGAAGAUUGAUUUUUCCAAAUCGAUUAAUUUUCUCAAUUAAAAUCGUCAUGUCUCUUCAA